GAAACGGCAUUAAGUGCUUGCACUUUUUGGACGUCGACCGGCGCACGGGUGAGUAACGCGUAUCCAACCUUCCCAUGACUAAGGGAUAACCUGCCGAAAGGCAGACUAAUACCUUAUGGUCUUCACUGACGGCAUCAGAUGUGAAGUAAAGAUUUAUCGGUUAUGGAUGGGGAUGCGUCUGAUUAGCUUGUUGGCGGGGUAACGGCCCACCAAGGCAACGAUCAGUAGGGGUUCUGAGAGGAAGGUCCCCCACAUUGGAACUGAGACACGGUUCAAACUCCUACGGGAGGCAGCAGUGAGGAAUAUUGGUCAAUGGGCGAGAGCCUGAACCAGCCAAGUAGCGUGCAGGAUGACGGCCCUAUGGGUUGUAAACUGCUUUUGUAUGGGGAUAAAGUCAAUCACGUGUGAUUGUUUGCAGGUACCAUACGAAUAAGGACCGGCUAAUUCCGUGCCAGCAGCCGCGGUAAUACGGAAGGUCCGGGCGUUAUCCGGAUUUAUUGGGUUUAAAGGGAGCGUAGGCUGGAGAUUAAGUGUGUUGUGAAAUGUAGACGCUCAACGUCUGACUUGCAGCGCAUACUGGUUUCCUUGAGUACGCACAACGUUGGCGGAAUUCGUCGUGUAGCGGUGAAAUGCUUAGAUAUGACGAAGAACUCCGAUUGCGAAGGCAGCUGACGGGAGCGCAACUGACGCUGAAGCUCGAAGGUGCGGGUAUCGAACAGGAUUAGAUACCCUGGUAGUCCGCACAGUAAACGAUGGAUGCCCGCUGUUGGUACUUGGUAUCAGCGGCU
rnacentral:rRNA from 1 species